GAAUCAUUCAAAUUUCUGCCCUAUCAAUUUUCGAUGGUAGGCAUAGAGGCUACCAUGGUGGUAACGGGUAACGGGGUGUAGGGCACGACACCUGAGAGGGAGCUGAGAAACGGCUACCACAUCCAAGGAUGGCAGCAGGCGCGCAAAUUACCCAAUCCCGACUGGGGAGGUCGUGACAAUAAAUAACAAUACGGGGUCCUUUCGGAUUUCGUAAUUGGAAUGAGUACAAUUUAAAUCUCUUAACGAGGAACAAUUGGAGGGCAAGUCUGGUGCCAUGAGCCGCGGUAAUUCCAGCUCCAAUAGCGUAUAUUACAGUUGAUGCAGUUAAAAAGCUCGUAGUUG
rnacentral:rRNA from 1 species